UAUUUAUUUAUUUUAAUAUAGUCAGUCGUGAACUGAGGUGGGCUGGUCUGAGGCUUGAAACUCCAGAGCUGAAAAGGUGUCCCACUCCGGCCCUGGUUCUAAACCUCUUAGCAUUUUUACACCACAGAAGAGCAAUACCACCUCGGGGAAGCCCAGCCGAUCCUCUCCAGCCAACUUCCACCAUCAUGCAUUAUUGGAAGGCCAGGAUGCUGUGUCUGUGGAAGGUGUUUUGAUGUUCGCUACUGGGCUGUCUUCACUUCCCCCAUCUGGCUUGGAACCACCGCCAAAAAUACAGUUCCUGGAUAACUCUGCAUUGCCAAUGGCAAAUACAUGUGCAAACACCUUGAAAUUACCACUGCUUAACUCAUACAAUUUGUUUAAGUCACAAAUGGACUUUGGAAUUCAAAAUAGUCCAGGAUUUGGCUGUUUUUAAGCUAAAUGAUGGAAGACCCUAGAGUUAAGACUGAAUGUUGUUUUAAUGUUCACUUUAAAGUGCAGUUGCAAAAAUAGUCUUUUAUAAAGUAAAAGUAGGUGAGGAAAAUUUUCUCAUGUCAAUUUAUGGAAAAUGUUCUAGAUUUGUGACUCCUAAACUGGAAUACCUUUAUAAAGCACAGAAGGAAAAAAGAUUAAAAAAAAAAAGUAGUUCAAGAAGUUUUGUUUCAUAUACUACAGAAAAUUAAUAAAUUAUUGUUACUA